rnacentral:ncRNA from 1 species
GAUAAGAUGAAAAACGAUGAGGGGUUUGAUUUUUUGUCUUAAAAUUUAGUAUAAAUUUAAUAUUAGAUGUAUAUGGUAAAUUAAAUUAAUUUGUUCUUAAAGAUAAAUUUAUAGAUUUGCAAUAAAAAGUAUUAUUAAUUGGUGAAGAUUUGAUUUAGUUAUUUUUAUUAAAUAUUGAUUAAAUAUGUGCCAGCAGUCGCGGUUAGACAUAGAAUAUAAUUAAAUUUUAUUGGUAAAAAGUUAUUUGUAAUAAUAAUUAAUCUUUAUAAUUAUUUUUAGGUGGAAUUAUAAAUUUUUAUAAAAAUUAAAUUAAAUGUUAUAUGAGGAGAAGCUGUGAAAUUCAUUAUAUAAACUAGGAUUAGAUACCCUAUUAUUUUGAAUUUAAAAUUGAAAUACUUAGGUAGUAAUAGUUAUGGUCUAAAAACUUAAAGAAUUUGGCGGUAUUUUAGUCUACUUAGAGGAAUUUGUCCCGUUAUCGAUAGUCCACGUUGAACCUAACUUUAGUUUUAAAUAUGUAUACCGCCGUCUGGAAAAUCUUUUUAGAGUUAAUUUUCUUUAUUUUUUAUUAAAUUAAAUUUCAGGUCAAGGUGCAGUUUAUAUUAAAGUGGAGAUGAAUUACAAUAUUUAAAUAUAUAUAUGAAUUAUAAAUUGAAAUAUUUAUAUGAAGGUGGAUUUAAUAGUAAUAUUAAAAAGAUUAUUAAUAUGAUUAUUUUAGCUCUAAAAUAUGUACAUAUCGCCCGUCACUCUCGUUUUAAGAUGAGAUAAGUCGUAACAAAGUAGGUGUACCGGAAGGUGUAGCUAGAAAUAAUU